UACAUACUGUGCGACCGUUAUUCGGAUUCACUGGGCUUAAAGGGUGCGUAGGCGGCUUGUUAAGUAGGGUGUGAAAGCCCCCAGCUCAACUGGGGAACUGCACUCUAUACUGGCGAGCUGGAGUGAGAUAGGGGUGUGUGGAACUGCCAGUGGAGCGGUGAAAUGUGUUGAUAUUGGCAGGAACGCCGGUGGCGAAAGCGACACACUGGGUCUCAACUGACGCUGAGGCACGAAAGCCAGGGGAGCGAACGGG
rnacentral:rRNA from 1 species